CUUUUAAUUUAAGCCACCUUAAAUCUUUUUUGGAACAAGAUAGAAACAGAAGUAAAAAUUUUAAACUUAUAAAUGGAGGUAGUUUUACGACCCAGGUUUUCAGAGUCAAGGACAUCUUUCUCCCUGUGCGGGACAAGCUUCCAGCCCAGAAAACUGAGUCAUCUUGGCCACCUGCACUCGUGUGUCCACUCGGAGCCUCUUCUAUUCUGACAACUUGGCAUCUUUUUUUCUCUGGACCCAGAAACAAGUAUGUUCAAGAAUCCUCCAAGAAUUCAUCAGACGCCUUCUCCUGGUCAGAGAGCCAGUGGUCACCCGACUGAGUUCAAAACAACCUUGACCUUGGGUUUUGUUUUUGCAGAUAAAAAAAAAAUGUGCCUUCAAAAGCACACCAGUGAAAUUCUUUCGUCAUACUGAUAGUAUUUUUGUCCUCAGCUUUGAGUCAGAGGAGGCUUGCUAAAGGGAGAAGGAAAUCUAUUACACAGGCUCCCCGGAGUGAAGUCCCUCGGAGUCUCUAACUGCAGACUCCGCAGUCCUCAGGGGGGGAAAUCGGGCAGUGGCACUAAGAUUUUGGUGACACCGUGUAUGUUCUUAAGACUUUGACUUCUGUCAGUCAGCACUACAGCCUAGAGAUAUUGCAACAAAAAGCAAGAAGUUCCCAAUUCCUCCUACGGAUGCUCAGCGUCCUAACGUGGGUGUAGCAGCUUCCUAUUAGCAGACGCUCGGGUUGUUUCUAUCACAAGAGCUGCUGCAGAAUGGAUGCAGGCAGAUCUUCAGGGCAUACUGUCAGAGCGGGGAUGUGGGGUCCAACCGCUACCUGCCUUCAUGAGGCCUUUCCCAGCAAGGGUCCUCCUGCAUCCAGCAGCUCACGCCAAUAGGAGUUUCCACAAGUAAGGUCUGGGGCGGGGCUGCUUAUAAGGAUCCCGUGGCCGAGAGGGGGCUGAGUUCCCGCGGGAUCCUGGGGACAGCGCAGGCGCAGGCGCAGUUGCUGCUUCUGCACCAGAUCAAGGCGCUGGUUGCAACGUCUCUGCAGACGGCUUGCCCCUGCCAUCUUGAACAGAGUGUUGGGAGCUUUUGCCGUCGUCGCCACCAUUUUGCACCAGGUAUCCUGUUGGAAGAGCUGCAGGGAGGCCUUUGCACCGGGUGCCCUGGGAACGAGUGAACUAGACUCAGCGCAGAGAAAACAAGAGCCCACAGUCCUCCAGGUAAAGAAGCCUGAGCUAACAACCUCUAUGUCAGUUGAGACCAGCCAACAGCCAGUACACAUGAGGAAGGCCAAGUGGAACUGGCAGAUGAUUACAGCCACGUGUAUGACUCGAAGCGAGAGCAGGAAUGUCAAGCUAAGUCAUCCCAAUCACCAGCCCAAGGACCAACUGCUGUGUGAAAGUACUCAUUUUUGAGAAGAUUUAUCAUGUAACAGUAGACCACUGAUGCCUCAGGAAGUAGUUUCUCUCAGAAAGACUGAAACAAUGAACAGUAUGUUCACCCUGCAAGCCCAUAAUAUCUUUUAACACAGUCUGUGGACUCAGUUCCCUGAGCAAGUGCAGUUGGGCUUGUAUUGGAUUUAGCAGUAGGUGUUGGGUAUUGUAGCUGUUCAGAUAGACCUUAACCCUGACUACACUACAAGCCUGGCUGGCCAUAAGCAGUCCCACUUCCAGAAAGACAGCAGGCUGCUUAGUGUCUGUCUGAGUGGUGGCCUUUUGAGAGAUUCUCUGCACAAGGUGUCACAUGUCACUCAUGGAUGCUUUCCAUUGUUAAAAG